UACGUAGGGUGCAAGCGUUGUCCGGAAUUAUUGGGCGUAAAGGGCUCGUAGGCGGUCCAUCACGUCGGGAGUGAAAAGCUGGGGCUUAACCCCAGUCCUGCUUCCGAUACGGGUGGACUAGAGGUAGGCAGGGGAGAACGGAAUUCCUGGUGUAGCGGUGAAAUGCGCAGAUAUCAGGAGGAACACCGGUGGCGAAGGCGGCGUCCUGGACCAACACUGACACUGAGGAGCGAAAGCCAGGGGAGCAAACGGG
rnacentral:rRNA from 1 species